rnacentral:rRNA from 1 species
UACAGAGGCCUCAAGCGUUACCCGGAAUCACUGGGCGUAAAGGGUGUGUAGGCGGUCGUGUUAGUCUUUUGUUAAAGUUUUUGGGCUUAACCCAGAAAGUGCAGAGGAAACGGCACGACUUAGAGGAUGUGAGAGGUACAGGGAACUCAUGGUGUAGGGGUGAAAUCCGUUGAUAUCAUGGGGAACACCAAAUGCGAAGGCACUGUACUGGCACGCUCCUGACGCUGAAACACGAAAGCGUGGGAAUCGAACGGG